rnacentral:pre_miRNA from 1 species
AUAUUACUCCCUCCGUUCGGAAUUACUUGUCGCAGAAAUGGAUGUAUCUAGACGUAUUUUAGUUCUAGAUACAUCUAUUUUCGAGACAAGUAAUUCCGAACGGAGGGAGUAUAUG